CCUCAGUAACGGCGAGUGAAGCGGCAACAGCUCAAAUUUGAAAUCUGGCCCCCCCGCGGGGCCCGAGUUGUAAUUUGCAGAGGGUGCUUCGGGCGCGGCGCCGGUCUAAGUUCCUUGGAACAGGACGUCAGAGAGGGUGAGAAUCCCGUACGCGGCCGGCCGCCCACCCCGGGUGAAGCCCCUUCGACGAGUCGAGUUGUUUGGGAAUGCAGCUCUAAAUGGGUGGUAAAUUUCAUCUAAAGCUAAAUACCGGCCAGAGACCGAUAGCGCACAAGUAGAGUGAUCGAAAGAUGAAAAGCACUUUGGAAAGAGAGUUAAACAGCACGUGAAAUUGUUGAAAGGGAAGCGCUUGCCGCCAGACCUGCCCGCGGGCGUUCACCCGCCAUUCGUGGCGGGGCACUCGCCCGCGAUCGGGCCAGCACGGGUUCGGGCGGCGGGAGAAAGGGCCCGGGAAUGUAGCUCCCCUCGGGGUGCCUUAUAGCCCGGGUCGCCAUGCCGCCCGCCCGGACCGAGGACCGCGCUUCGGCUAGGGUGCUGGCGUAAUGGCGGCAAGCGACCCGUCUUGAAACACGGACCAAGGAGUCUAACAUCCACGCGAGUGUUUGGGUGUCAAACCCGGGCGCGGAAUGAACGUGAACGGAGGUGGGACCCCCGCGAGGGGCGCACCAUCGACCGAUCCAGAUGUCUUCGGAUGGAUUUGAGUACGAGCGUGGCUGUUGGGACCCGAAAGAUGGUGAACUAUGCCUGAAUAGGGUGAAGCCAGAGGAAACUCUGGUGGAGGCUCGCAGCGGUUCUGACGUGCAAAUCGAUCGUCAAAUUUGGGCAUAGGGGCGAAAGACUAAUCG
rnacentral:rRNA from 1 species